rnacentral:lncRNA from 1 species
UUUUUAAGACAGUGAAUAUACUCUGUGUGAUACUACAGUGGUGGAUAUAUGUCACUAUAAAGUUUCUAAACACAUAGAAUAUACAACACCAAGAAGUAAGCCUUAAUGUAAACUAUGAACUUUGGGCGAUUAAGAUGUGCAAUGUAGGCUUAUCAAUUGCAAAAAAUGUACCACUUUGGUGAGAGCUGUUGAUAGUGGAGGAAGCGAUGUGUGUGUGUGGGGACAGGAGAUAUGAGAAAUCUCUGUAUCUUCCUUUCGAUUUUCCUAUGAACCUAAAACUACUCUAAAAAAGUAAGUCGUAAAGAAAGAAAAUGUUUGCCAAACAUAUUCAUAUUUCACUGAUGAAUUCUCUCAAACAUUUAACCAACUAUAGUAGAAUUCUCUCUUCCCCCUCAAAAAAAAUAUGUCCCCAUUGAAUUCCACAAUGUCACUUUGUCAUUAGAGUCUUUGAUGAUGUAAUUAGUUCAGGACCUUAAGAGGAUAACAUACUGGAUCAAGGGUGGGCCUCAAAUUCAAUGACUGGCGUCCUUAUAAGAAGAGGAGAAAACACCAAGACACACAGCAAGAAGGCCAUGUGAAGAUGAAGGCGGAACUUGCAGUGAUGUAGCUGCAAGCCAAGCACUGCCAAGGGUUGCUGGGGGCCGCCGGAAGCUGGAGGAGGUAAGGAAGGAGCCUGCCCUAGAGUGUUCGGAGGAAGCAGGGCCCUGCCAACAGCUUGAAACUAACGCACCUACACAGUCUCUUUCAGAAUACAGGAGGACUGAACACUUCAAAAACAAUAAUCCGCUUCUCCCUACUGGACUUUUCUUGGUUCUUAUAGGUUAGGGAAACAAAGAGAAAACACCGCAUUUCCUUUGCCCUGACAUUUGUGGAGAUUUGCCACAAGGUUUUUUAUAGGCAUCUGCCUAUUGAUCAGGUAAGUUUAUAUGUAUCAUAUAGAAAAGGUGGUAUGUAGUUUUUUCCCUGUGAAAAAUUAACAUGGAAUUUUCUGUAUCCUUUUAGAAGGUAAAUUUUACUGAAACAAUUUGUAAACAUUGUUAAGAAUAUUAAAAAUAUAUAUGACCAUGU